rnacentral:rRNA from 1 species
UAUUUUAAAGAGAGUUUGAUCCUGGCUCAGGACGAACGCUGGCGGCGUGCCUAAUACAUGCAAGUCGAACGAACGGAGGAAGAGCUUGCUCUUCCAAAGUUAGUGGCGGACGGGUGAGUAACACGUGGGCAACCUGCCUGUAAGUUGGGGAUAACUCCGGGAAACCGGGGCUAAUACCGAAUGAUAAAGUGUGGCGCAUGCCACGCUUUUGAAAGAUGGUUUCGGCUAUCGCUUACAGAUGGGCCCGCGGUGCAUUAGCUAGUUGGUAGGGUAAUGGCCUACCAAGGCAACGAUGCAUAGCCGACCUGAGAGGGUGAUCGGCCACACUGGGACUGAGACACGGCCCAGACUCCUACGGGAGGCAGCAGUAGGGAAUCUUCCGCAAUGGACGAAAGUCUGACGGAGCAACGCCGCGUGUAUGAAGAAGGUUUUCGGAUCGUAAAGUACUGUUGUUAGAGAAGAACAAGGAUAAGAGUAACUGCUUG